GGACCUGCCCAGCAGCCAGGCGGGGGCCUUGGUAGAGGAAGCCAUAGCCACAAGGGCUGCUUCCCAGGCAGGCCGGGGAUCCCGGGGCACCCCCCCAUCAGGCAACAAGCACAAGGCGUCCCCUGCACCUCCGGCGGCGGGUGCACCCGGAGUACCCCGGAACGCAGGUACCCCACACCGGCCACUCUCCAGCCGGCCAAGAGCUGGAGCUUCAGUCCUCCAAGGAGAAUUCAGGGCAGCAGGAGCUACUCACACACACACACACACACACACUCUCACAACACACUCACACACUCACACCCGCGCUCUGCAGACUGCAGAUGAGUGGAGUAACUUACCGAAGGUGACACCACUGGAACUCAGCGGAGCUCAGACGCCCUGCCAGAAUGGAACCGGCAGCCAUUUCACACAGCUGUGAAGCCCUGAGAAGGCACCCAGCCAGCUGCCCGGCACAAGGUCCUCAGUCACCAAGCCUUUCCCAGUAUUAGCCAGGCUCCUCCCUGUCCUCAAGAACAACGUACUGCCUCUUCUGGAGCGCCAGUCACAUCCAAGCAGUUACUUAUUUACAGUCCUCCCCCACGUGGGUGGGGCCCCGUCUUCCCUGCUCUCCUGGGCUCUACACAGAACUGGAAUGUGCUGAGCUGCAGUCUACCUCCGGAGUGUGGAGUAGCAGAGGGCUGGACACUGAGAUGCUUAUCGGAACUCUGAGUUCACCCCAUCUCCCUCUGCUAACUCUGUGCUCCGCCCACUUCAGGUACCCACCCUGCCCUCCAGCAGCCCUUGGCUAAACCAAGGGAGCAUGUGGCCCCCAAGGCAGCCUGCUUGUUCCCAUUCUUAUCCCACUCAAGUGAUGCCAGUCAGAGAUACAUGCCAGAACCAGGACAGCUCUUUUCCUACCUGACACCUUUCUCCUCUAUGCCCCUCUUUCUACAUGUGAGCCCCCCUGGGACCAGCUGCGGAGGUACUUGGGAUUCCUCCACAUAAGGACAAAGAUCCUUCCCUAAUUUCCAUCUGGAUCUCCCAGUCUCCACCGUACUGGCUGCAGGAGAGGGGGCCAGAGAGAAGGUCAAUGGGGAACUUGCUGGAAACACCCUGAAAACAUGGCCAUCCAUAGACCAGACUCCCCAUGGACGAGCAGGAACCCAGACACACUGGGAAGGGGAGACUGCAAAUGAACCAAGCCCCAAGCCUGCGGAGCCCCACCAAUGGGGACACAAUUUCCAUACCCACUCUACAGACAGACGAUGCAGAGUCCUGGACACCCUGCCCACGACCACACAGCUAGAAAUGACAGCGCUCUCUGCUGCGGGCCGCAGGAAUAUAUCAUAAGAACUCAGCUGGUUAUGGCAAAGUCACUACCUAGAGGGAUC